rnacentral:rRNA from 1 species
GUGGGGAAUAUUGGACAAUGGGCGAAAGCCUGAUCCAGCCAUGCCGCGUGUGUGAAGAAGGUCUUCGGAUUGUAAAGCACUUUAAGUUGGGAGGAAGGGUAGUAACCUAAUACGUUGCUACUUUGACGUUACCGACAGAAUAAGCACCGGCUAACUUCGUGCCAGCAGCCGCGGUAAUACGAAGGGUGCAAGCGUUAAUCGGAAUUACUGGGCGUAAAGCGCGCGUAGGUGGUUCAGUAAGUUGGAAGUGAAAUCCCCGGGCUCAACCUGGGAACUGCUUUCAAAACUGCUGAGCUAGAGUACGGUAGAGGGUAGUGGAAUUUCCUGUGUAGCGGUGAAAUGCGUAGAUAUAGGAAGGAACACCAGUGGCGAAGGCGACUACCUGGACUGAUACUGACACUGAGGUGCGAAAGCGUGGGGAGCAAACAGGAUUAGAUACCCCAGUAGUCC